UUCACCUCAGGUAUGCAUCACAGACAACUGCAGUCUGGUAUACACAUGGUAAAAGCAUAACACAGAGUUGAUCUUGCAGCCAUGCCCUUCAACCUCAUGAAGGAGAGGCUCGAGUUCAUUGACGCAGAUAAGUGCGAGUGCAAGUCGACUCUUAUCGAGGGCGGUGGCAUCGGCAUGGCGAUCGAGACAGCCACUUCGCACAUCAAGGUGGAGCCGGCAGCAAACGGUGGGAGCAUAGUGAAGGUGGAAUCGACAUACAAGCUGCUUCCAGGCGUGGAGGUGAAUGAUGAGAUUACCAAGGCCAAGGAUUCCGUCACGGCCAUCUUCAAGGCCGCCGAGGCCUACCUCAUCGCCAACCCAGACGCCUACAACUAAAUCAGUUGAGGGAUCAAAUACGAUUAUGUUCUCCCUGGUUUGAUUUUUGUGUGGUUUCUUCCUGAAUAAUAAGGCUGCUCUAAUCUCCAAGUAGUGAUGCGAGAACACUAAUUAAGUAGAGUGUGGACCUGAGAAGUUUAAAAUGUGUAUUUGUAACUAUCAAAUGGAGCUGUUGUUUGAUGAUGUUGCUGCUUGCUUAUGUAUAUUCCUCAUGAUUUCGUAUGGGAAUAAAAGGAAGUAUGUUUUUUUAGCAACAUAAAAGGAAGUAUGCGAAACACAUAAAAGGAAGUGGAAGUUUAUGGGCCAAGAAAGUCUUGUGUUUGCUCGAGUGACUAUAAUGUCUUCUGCUCUUCUCAUAUACAGGAGGAAACGGUUUGAAUGUAUAUGUUAUUUUAUUUUAUUUUUGCCAUCACAUUUUUUUUGCCAAGUCCCUCUAUUAGACCCAUUUAGUUUCUCCUCGCAAAAAAGAUCCUUUUAGUUUCUUCCGUUGUAGCUUUGCUGACGACUUGUCCUUUCCUCUCGUUAUGAGCGACUCAGAAGCCCUAUCCGCCGCCUACAUCUCCAAGACUCCAACCCUCUUGGUGCUGCCGCCGUAGGGGGGUGGGGGGUGGAGGGUCUGUUCACCUGGGAGUUUCAGGCGAUGUGGAUUGGCAGUUGUAGCGGAUCAGAGCAGGUGGCAACUGGAGAUGUGCGGCCAGGUGACGGUGGUUCUUGACCUGUGGUGCUGAACAACAAUGUUGCAUGUGCCAACGACGUCCGGAGGUCCCCCAAGAUAGGGUCCUAGAUGGCGGCAGACUGACUUUUGGCUCGACAUCACCGUGAAACAACAUUGGACUCUUGGUUUAGACUGGGUUUAUGGAGUCUUUGUGUGUUGGUCGGGGCAGCGAGGAGACACGGCGACGUUGCUACAAUUCAAGAAUAAUGUCUCCCUGUCAUAUCCCUGCACUUAGUGUCGGUGGAGGGCAUGUGGAGGUGAGCCUUCGAUAAAUCUUUGUGGAACUGAGCGGCUUUGGUCUCCAGUGGGUUUCAUCUAUAUAUAUUCGGUCGGUGUUAUUGGUCUUUGGAGUUUCUAUAGGCUCUUUUCAGCGUUUUCAUCCCCGACACGGCUAUUUGUCAUGCGGAUCAUGGUCGGCAGUGUUUUUUGAUCUGCAUCGACGACUUCUCGACCACUACUUCUAAGAGCUCCUUGGUUUUAAAAAGUUUGCUCCACCAAGUUGGAGACGCAAAGGCGGCAUUGAGCUUUGCUCAUGGUCGCCGCCGGUAGAUGUAGAAGGAAGAAGAUUUCAGCACCCCUAAGGAUUUGGAUGUGACUUUUUUAUAAAGGUCUGUUUGUAAGGACUUGUGAUACUUAAUAUAUGACUUUAGCCUUUUCACAAAAAAAGUCUCAAGCUGUUAGCGCUCGGCCAAGCCUCAAGUUUCUCUUCAGAAAUUGGGGCCUAGAGAUUUAAUGCUCUCAUAUCCCAUUUUUCAAAUUAGGAUGUGCUACUUAGUGUAGUGUUGGGUUUUCCGCGAACAGAAAGGGAUGAAGUAGUAUAGUAGCAAAUAUUUAUUUUUUCAGUUAAGAACCAAGGUUUAUCAAACCAAUAGGAGCACCACACAAACAAGAUAGACGGCACCUGCACACACACAAAGCAAAAAUGCUUGCACCCAACGAAGGUAAGAGGAUUGUCAAUCUUCUUGUUCUCGCCAAUUGUAAGGAUUAAAUCUGAUAGUGGUAACAUAAUAAAAAUAUUGGAUAGCAGGACACUCAAUGCAACUGGCCCUAUAGUUAUGACCUUCAAAACUCAUCUCAUAGAAUAAAUGUACUGGAGGUGGGUGUAGCAUGUCGUGGGCAUAACGGCCAUGGCCGUCCUCAUCUCAUAGAAUAAAUGUAUUGGAGGUGGGUGUAGCACGUCGUGGGCAUAACGGCCAUGGCCGUCAUUGUUGGUGAAGCCAAAGUGAAUCCACCCUUCUGUUAAGGACAUGUCAAAGCUUUUUGCCAUGAGCCAAAAAGUAAUUCGGUCCUCGUCGCUCGCGAAUUAAGCCUGAAGCAUCUAGCCUUCUCGAGCAGGACAAAAACCCUAAGCGAUCCACACCUAAGAACGAAGCAAUAUCCCUCCUGCCGGCAAGGCCGGGGUCGAUCGUGCCUCCAUGACCCUAAAGGCCACAUGGGACGAGGAAAUCGACGGUGUCGCCAACGGGAGGUAGGAAAAGCUAAUCACAUGUGCGCCCGAGUCAUGAGAUGAAGCGGUAGAUUCUUAGGCCUACUCAGUGAGCCUUUUAUUUACUAGUUUUUAAAUGAAUUUAGGGACUAAUCACCUUUUUAUUGACGCUCAAUUAGAUCUUUGGUUGCGAAUGACAAACUCUUAUCCUUCUUCAAAGUUAAUGGACAUAAAGACAAGCACCAAACAGUGUGCCAACAUCUCAAAUGCAACCCAUCUAAGGGCAUCUCCAGCAGCAAACAUCAAACAAACUCCUCCAUUUAUCCGUGGACACGUCCAAACGUGUUCAUUGACAAUCGGGCGGGCGCUGACCAUCCAAUGGUAGCCCCCAAAAGACCCCUACUUGUAUGCCCCUCUUUUUUUUUUCGAAGUCAUUCUCCUAACACUGAAAUAAUUCUAAGAUUAAUAUUAGAAUGCAACAAUAAUUAAAAUAAUAAAUAUUUCAAUGCCACAAUAGUUAAAAUAUAAAUAUCCAAUCCAAAUAUAAAGUUUCCAAAUAACAUAGUUCAAAUUGAAAUUCAAAUUAUUCAACACUCGAUAUCCUGAACCCUUGGAGCCGAGAACAUGCUCGUUUCUUCAAGAUGCCAUCAUUAUCGUUGUUUCAUUGUCUUCCACCUCAUUAUCUGAUGAAGAACAACCCAUGAGCUCCUCCUUCUAAAAGUACUCCUUGUCUGGAUCCAUCGUGUUUCUUGAAACUAUACAACGAAGAUGUCAAAGAAUGAAUUAUGGAAUUUGACCGAACACUUGCUGUGCCAUGUGUCCGGCAUGGACGACAACGGUUGGGGUGGACGAUACAAGGGCGAGUGAUGGAUCCAACGACGACGUCUUGAUGGAGAGGCGGCUGGGUGGAAUGGCAGGGGUACAUCAAGGCUUGAGCAUCGUCCGAGGGGGUGCGGGGUGGUUCCGAUGGAUUUGGGUUGGUCCAGGCUGCCGGAGUCCGACACGGAGGACGCCCGAACUUAUCGGUCUUGAGAAUUAUGGCCCAAAUCAGGGGUCCACGUCCUAUAAGUGCCAAAACAAUCAAGUCCAGAUAUUUGGGGCCGAAAUGAAGUUCCGCAUUGGAGAUGCCCUGACCAUCUCUUGAAUAAAACUGACUAGAUACAGUGCAAGGUCCUUGGUUAGUUGCUUAAAAAAUAAACCAAGUUUUGUUUAGCAUCAUUUUUUGUUUUUAUAGUAAACGUGCCUAAGUGCUAUACAAAUAAAAGGCAUCAAUGCUUAAAUUUCACUUUCACAGGCAUCUCUCUAAUCAGCUUGCAUUGUACAUGGUCAAAGAUGAUAAAGUGUGAUAUACAAUGGGUUUGCAUUAAAAAAGAACAAUAACGUGUGUUUCCCAGCACAUGCGGCGAGCAAAAUAUGAUUACAGACGAAUGCAACCCAGCAUCUCAACUAGUAGCUGAUUUACGUGUAAUGAUACAUGUACACACCCACAUGCAUUUGUUAAUGGGUAACACAGCUGGCUAAUAUAUCACCUACUAGCACUAGAACAAUUUCCCCACGCGGACCGUGGUGCCAAUUGGAUAGAGAACACAUUCUUCUCCUAACUAAAGAUUGACAAGCACUUAAAAAUAACACUAAAGAUUGACAAAAGCGCGAUCUCUCAGACCCAGCAAUGAUAAAAGGUUAGCCCACCGACGGUGCCAUCCAAUUUGGGAAACCUCUUUGGCGCCUUUACCAGUCUCCACUUACCAGACCCAUCCCCUGCUUAAGCUUCACCAACCCCUGCUUUCAAGCCCCUAUUUAUAGGGCUCACUUCUGCUCUCUAGGAAAUCAAGCAGCUUUGCGCCAUUACAACAGUCACAGCUCACAUCACUUGCACUGGUACUAGUUUGAUCAUCAUAGCAAUGGCCUCCACCAACAGCUGGACCCAUGAGAUUGAGUCGCCGGUCGCUGCAUCGCGCCUCUUCCGUGCCGGCGUCAUGGACUGGCACACCCUGGCCCCCAAGCUUGCGCCACAGAUCGUCGCCAGUGCCCACCCCGUUGAAGGAGAAGGUGGCAUCGGCAGUGUCAGGCAGUUCAACUUCACCUCAGGUAUGCAUCACAUACAACUCAUAUCACCUGCAGUCUGGUACAGAUUGUCAAAGCGUAAAACAGAGUUGAUCUUGCAGCCAUGCCCUUCAACCUCAUGAAGGAGAGGCUCGAGUUCAUUGACGCGGACAAGUGCGAGUGCAAGUCAACCAUCAUCGAGGGUGGUGGCAUCGGCACGGAAAUUGAGACGGCCACAUCGCACAUCAAGGUGGAGCCGACAGCUAAUGGCGGGAGCGUGG
rnacentral:lncRNA from 1 species